AUCACAUUGAAACACCAGUUCCUAUAUGAUCACCAAAGUUAAGCCACAUUGAGCCUGUUCAGUGCCUAGAUGGAUGACUGCUUGGGAAUACCAGGUGCUGUAAG